AAGCAGGGAGAGCUGUACAGAGCUGCUAGUAAUGCCGUUAUCACGUACUUAGGGAAAAGAUUUUUUUUUUUUUUGCUAAAUAGAUUAUCUUACCUCUAUGUUUUCAUAAACCAAAUCCUUUUCUACAAUGUUGUUUCUGAACUCUUUAGAGAAAUCAGUGUAGAGUGUCUGUAGCAGAACAUUUUGUGAAACAAUGAGAAUAAUCACUCCUCAGGACAUCUGCUUCCCGUGUUUGCAUUGCAAGUGACAUCUGGCUGACAGGAACUUGGAGAAAUGGGAUACGAAGUGAAUGCUGCAGUUACCACAAGCAUCAUAUUUAUCAGAAGGUUUAAGGUCAAUGGAGUUUGGCACCAUUCGAGAUCUUACUGAAGGAAGAUGGCAUUAGGAAGUGUGCUGGCAGGAUGAGCAGAGCACCAGAGAGUCUUCUACAGGAACAACAUGUGAUCUGGCCUUGAUGUAACAGACUAGGCAGCAAUGUGCAUCACGCAUCUAGUAGAGACUGGCUCUGUGGAGAACCUCUGUGGCCGUCGGGACAACACUCUGGACCUUCCCUCCUCCCCCAUGGCUUCCUGACCCAUUACGAAAGACCUGGGUGGGACAUUUCAGUUGAGGUAAAUUUCUACUCCAACCUAGAUAUGCACUCUUUAG